AAGAAGACAAACCCUGGGUUUCCGUGUCCAACGUUUGACCGUCCGUCUUAUUUGAAAAAAUUAUAGAAAAAAUUAAAAAGACAAGUCACGCAUAAAGUAUUAAUCAUAUUUUAUCAUCUAACAAUAAUGAAAAUACUAAUUAUAAAAAAAUUUCAUAUAAGACGGACAGUCAAACGUUGGACACGAAAACUCAGGGUUUGUCUUUUU
rnacentral:pre_miRNA from 1 species